rnacentral:rRNA from 1 species
GACGAAGGGGGCUAGCGUUGUUCGGAAUUACUGGGCGUAAAGCGCGUGUAGGCGGUUGUCCAAGUUGGAUGUGAAAGCCUUGAGCUCAACUCAAGAAAUGCAUUCAGGACUGGAUGACUAGAGGACCGGAGAGGAUAGUGGAAUUCCCAGUGUAGUGGUGAAAUACGUAGAGAUUGGGAAGAACACCAGUGGCGAAGGCGGCUAUCUGGACGGUUUCUGACGCUAAGACGC